CUCAGUAUUGUGUUGAAAGCCGACGGGGGGGGGGAGUGCGCGAAACCGCUCCGAUGCGAAUCCAUUUGACCUGUGUCCGUGACCUCGCGUGGUGUCCGUGGCGAUCCAUAGGUGCGUGCUAGUGACCUUGAGGUGCGGAGAGGAGCGAAGGGCGUGGUGGAUACGGAAUUAAGGAAAUACGGGCGAUAAAACACCACACACGUGCGAGUGCGGUGAUGUGACUGAUUUUGUGGCGUCAGCUGAUAGUCUGAGAUGGCAAGGUGGCAUCUGUCAACAGCAGUCGGGUGUCUCCUGCAACAGUGAAAGCAUUUGUAAACAAAGUCAAGUGCCACGUGUUGCCCUUCUUGAAGAACUACUUAACAUCAGUUUGUUUCCUGACAGUCAAUGCUUUUGGGUACAUUGGCUCCUACUGUGUUGUCAGAAGGUAGAAUUUGAGUCGGCCAAGCUUCAGAAAUGCAGGAAGGAUUAGUGGUGAUGACUGCAGGCUGCCAUCGACCCGCAGGUCAUCACAGGAAUCAAAUGCAGCAUCAGUAUGGCUCACCAAACACUUCCCCUCACACUGGUGGUGUUGACCUGCCUUGUGAACACCUGCCCUCCUGUGUUCCUGCCCUUAAUAGCCCUCCAGGUGACAUCAGAAUGUGGAUGAGGGGACAAGAGAGCCAGUGUUCCAAGUACCACCACCAUCACCACUGCCACCACCACCACCACCACCAUCAGGAGCACAGAUUCACUGAAGUCUCUACCAAGAUUUCUUUGAGUUUUUUGAUAAAUUUAACUUCCAGGAGAGAGAGAGACAGAGAGAUGAUUGUUAAAGGCAGUGUGUGAAGCCUGCCCACUGUCUUUGUAUAUACAGGUUAGGGUGUGUGUGUGUGUGUGUGUGUGUGUGUGUGUGUGUGUGUGUGUGUGUGUGUGUGUGUGAGUGUUUGUUUGUUUUGUAUCCUCCACACUGCUGGUCUUAAUCUAGCUUGCCAAACUAAAUGAAGUCAUCCACAGCCACAGCCUUAUUCUUCCUUUCAUUUGUAUCUACACAGUCCUAUGAGCAGCUCCUCCUCCUCCUCCUCCUCCUCCUCCUCCUCCUCCUCCUCCUUGUCUUCCUUCUAUUAUUCCUGUUUCCUUGUAUGUCUUAUUCCUCCUCCUCCUCCUCCUCCUCCUCCUCCUCCUCCUCCUCCUCCUCCUCCUCCUCCUCCUCCUCCUCCUCCUCCUCUUAAUGUUUUCUCUUUCACUGCUGUUCAUGAAAGUGUUGAAGAAAUAUUAGUUAUAUCUGGCAGUGAUCAGACCUCAUGUACAGAUGUGGUCCCUUACUACAGACACAGCCUAAGGUAACCUAACCCAAUCAUUUCAGAAGGUGGAAUUUGAGUCGGCCAAGCCUCAGAAAUGCAGGAAGGAUUAGCGGUGAUGACUGCAGGCUGCCAUCGACCCGCAGGUGUGAUGGUGCCCGACCAGCUGGUACACAUCAGUGAGAUGGUGGUGGUGCUGGAAAACAGCUGGUUUGCCAAGUGCAGCGCCAGGCAGGCUGCCCGCCCACACAGUCACCAGAAGGAUCACAGGUCAUCACAGGAAUCAAAUGCAGCAUCAGUAUGGCUCACCAAACACUUCCCCUCACACUGGUGGUGUUGACCUGCCUUGUGAACACCUGCCCUCCUGUGUUCCUGCCCUUAAUAGCCCUCCAGGUGACAUCAGAAUGUGGAUGAGGGGACAAGAGAGCCAGUGUUCCAAGUACCACCACCAUCACCACUGCCACCACCACCACCACCACCAUCAGGAGCACAGAUUCACUGAAGUCUCUACCAAGAUUUCUUUGAGUUUUUUGAUAAAUUUAACUUCCAGGAGAGAGAGAGACAGAGAGAUGAUUGUUAAAGGCAGUGUGUGAAGCCUGCCCACUGUCUUUGUAUAUACAGGUUAGGGUGUGUGUGUGUGUGUGUGUGUGUGUGUGUGUGUGUGUGUGUGUGUGUGUGUGUGUGUGUGUGUGUGUGUGUGUGAGUGUUUGUUUGUUUUGUAUCCUCCACACUGCUGGUCUUAAUCUAGCUUGCCAAACUAAAUGAAGUCAUCCACAGCCACAGCCUUAUUCUUCCUUUCAUUUGUAUCUACACAGUCCUAUGAGCAGCUCCUCCUCCUCCUCCUCCUCCUCCUUGUCUUCCUUCUAUUAUUCCUGUUUCCUUGUAUGUCUUAUUCCUCCUCCUCCUCCUCCUCCUCCUCCUCCUCUUAAUGUUUUCUCUUUCACUGCUGUUCAUGAAAGUGUUGAAGAAAUAUUAGUUAUAUCUGGCAGUGAUCAGACCUCAUGUGCAGAUGUGGUCCCUUACUACAGACACAGCCUAAGGUAACCUAACCCAAUCAUUUCAGAAGGUGGAAUUUGAGUCGGCCAAGCCUCAGAAAUGCAGGAAGGAUUAGCGGUGAUGACUGCAGGCUGCCAUUGACCUGCAGGUGUGAUGGUGCCCGACCAGCUGGUACACAUCAGUGAGAUGGUGGUGGUGCUGGAAAACAGCUGGUUUGCCAAGUGCAGCGUCAGGCAGGCCGCCCGCCCACACAGUCACCAGAAGGAUCACAGGAUUUGAUAUCAAAGCUGGUGCAGGAAAAGGAAGCAGAUCGUGACCUUGAGCAGCUCGGGAAGAUAAGCAGCGUCCUUAAGAGAACAGUUGCUGUCAUUAGCAGAGUUGGAACCAGUGUGUGUGAGACGCACACCAGCAGUGGAAAGGUGGCUGAUGAGCACCUCAAGCACUCUGAAAAGGUGGAGCAACAACAAGAAACAGAAAAUUGCAUCCAUCAUUCUUUGCCUGAGGAGGGAAUUGAUGCUCUGUUGACCCUUGACAGUGACGUCCCUCAUGAGGAGAAUAUGAAUCCUACAGAACUUGCCCAUAGAAAGACCAAAACUGUUACUGCUGCCACUACCACCGCUUCCACUGCCACCAAAAGCCCAACUGUGCAAAAGAAUCCUGGACCUCCUCAAUGAAAUGGAGUCCACCAGUCAGCUGGAGCACUCUAGCCUCCAAAAGUUCCAUCUGUGUCCAUUGUGUAUGGGUAAACUUAUCACUGUAUGAGGGGACAAGUAUCAGUGUAUGGUUACUAUAUACUCAUUUGUACUUAAAAAUGUCAUGUCACAUCAUUCUCUCUCUCUCUCUCUCUCUCUCUCUCUCUCUCUCUCUCUCUCUCUCUCUCUCUCUCUCUCUCUCUCUCU